CCUACGGGAGGCAGCAGUAGGGAAUCUUCCACAAUGGACGCAAGUCUGAUGGAGCAACGCCGCGUGAGUGAAGAAGGUUUUCGGAUCGUAAAGCUCUGUUGUUGGUGAAGAAGGAUAGAGGUAGUAACUGGCCUUUAUUUGACGGUAAUCAACCAGAAAGUCACGGCUAACUACGUGCCAGCAGCCGCGGUAAUACGUAGGUGGCAAGCGUUGUCCGGAUUUAUUGGGCGUAAAGCGAGCGCAGGCGGAAAAAUAAGUCUAAUGUGAAAGCCCUUGGCUUAACCGAGGAACUGCAUCGGAAACUGUUUUUCUUGAGUGCAGAAGAGGAGAGUGGAACUCCAUGUGUAGCGGUGGAAUGCGUAGAUAUAUGGAAGAACACCAGUGGCGAAGGCGGCUCUCUGGUCUGCAACUGACGCUGAGGCUCGAAAGCAUGGGUAGCGAACAGGAUUAGAUACCCCUGUAGUC
rnacentral:rRNA from 1 species